rnacentral:rRNA from 1 species
UCGAGAAUCUUCCGCAAUGGACGAAAGUCUGACGGAGCGACGCCGCGUGGGGGAUGAAGGUCUUCGGAUUGUAAACCCCUUUCGGCAGGGAAGAUGGAACGGGUAACCGUUCGGACGGUACCUGCAGAAGCAGCCACGGCUAACUUCGUGCCAGCAGCCGCGGUAAUACGAAGGUGGCAAGCGUUGUUCGGAUUUACUGGGCGUACAGGGAGCGUAGGCGGUUGGGUAAGCCCUCCGUGAAAUCUCCGGGCCUAACCCGGAAAGUGCGGAGGGGACUGCUCGGCUAGAGGAUGGGAGAGGAGCGCGGAAUUCCCGGUGUAGCGGUGAAAUGCGUAGAGAUCGGGAGGAAGGCCGGUGGCGAAGGCGGCGCUCUGGAACAUUUCUGACGCUGAGGCUCGAAAGCGUGGGGAGCAAACAGGAUUAGAUACCCGCGUAGUCCCUGAGCGGGCUGGCAAGGCGCAU